rnacentral:rRNA from 1 species
CACGCCCUAAACGAUGUUCACUAGGUGUUGGGGGGUAACCUCCGGUGCCGCAGCUAACGCAUUAAGUGAACCGCCUGGGGACUACGGCCGCAAGGUUGAAACUCAAAGGAAUUGGCGGGGGACCGCACAAGCGGUGGAGCAUGUGGCUUAAUUCGAUGCAACGCGAAGAACCUUACCAGGGCUUGACAUGGAACUGCAAGCGGUAGAAAUAUCGUCGCCUUCGAGGGUGUUCCACAGGUGG